AGUCCAGGGAAAGUGCUCUCAUAACAACAAACUUUCCCCUGUCUGGGUUUAUAUUGUGUAUUUACCCUCCUCCAAUACCUUCAAGAUCCAUUCCUGGGAAUAUUCUCACAUUUCCUGUUGGUACAUAUUAGCAAUAUUCUGCAGUAAAUUGAUCUAACUUAUUGGCUUAGAAACCAUGAAAGCAGAUCUGGGCAAACCUGGAACAGAGAAAAUAUUUCACUUUCCAAGCAAGAAGUCAUUUUGUGAUUGUAAAGGUCAGUUGCCAACCUGGCUCUAACCAUGUUGCCAGUCUCACUUGGUAGUUUGAUGAAGAGUAGCAGUCGUGAAGAGGUGUGGCUGAAUAAAGUGGGUAAUAUCUGAUGGCAAUAAACCAGCAAUUUAUCAAGGCCAAUUGGUUCAGAAUCUUCCAUCUUCACAGACAAGAAAAUUUCUUUCUCCAAGUAUAGCAAGGGCACAGCUCAAAUGAAAGUCUUAUUACUUAUUGUGGAGACAUAACAGAGAAUUAUUUUGCAGUGCUUCUUGGAGAUAUAUGGAUGAAGGACAGAGACACCUUGCUUUUGCUGUUUUUUGGAUGUAUAUCCAAGAAGAUAUACAAAAGUCUAAAAGGAGGAAGUGAAUGGCAAUUUUAUAUUGGAUAUGGCUGAAAAGAAAAAUAUAAGAAAUUUUUUUCAUGAAAUCACAUUAAGGGAUAAAAAUUUGUUUAAGGCUGUAUAUUUAGCUGUAAAACAGUUAACUGAUAGAAAUCAAUCAAAAUCAUGUUUCACU